rnacentral:misc_RNA from 1 species
ACAAACUUGGUCAUUUAGAGGAAGUAAAAGUCGUAACAAGGUCUCCGUAGGUGAACCUGCGGAGGGAUCAUUACCGAGCUCCUGCCCCUGUGGCAGAACUCCCACCCGUUGUGAUUUGCUACAAUUGUUGCUUUGGCGGGCCGUUGGGCUGCCCGGCCACUGGCCUUGUGCUAGUGCGUGCCCGCCAGAGACCCUUCAAACUCUUGAUGUUGUGUCGUCCGAGUCUUCUUUGAAUCGUUAAAACUUUCAACAACGGAUCUCUUGGUUCUGGCAUCGAUGAAGAACGCAGC